GAGAAUUGAAGCUGACUUGGAAAGCUUGCAGGACAGAAUAUCACGGAUGGAAUUCGGAAUCAAUGAUAAGCUUCAACGAAUGGAAGACACCAUCAGUAAGUUAGCCGAGUCCUGUAGUGCUAGUAGGGGAGCAACAAGUCAAGGGAAUGCUAGUUCUACAGCAAGGCCAAUUCGAGAAGAAAGUGAAGGGGGACGGCCACCAAUACCACCAAGGAUAGCAAAACUGGAAUUCCCUCGUUACUUCGGCGACGAUCCAACAGAGUGGUUCAACCGAACAACACAAUUCUUUGAGUAUCAGGAAACGACCAAUGAACAGAAGGUAGCUUUGGCGUCUUUUCAUCUAGGAGGAGAGGCCAAUCAAUGGUGGCAGUGGCUACGCCGAACUUACCAAGAAGAAGGCAGAAUUGUGACAUGGGAGACGUUCGUAGAGGAACUUUGGGCACGCUUCGGACCAACGGACUGUGAAGAUUUCGAUGAAGCACUGUCACGGGUCAAACAAACAGGAACAUUACGUGAGUAUCAGAAAGAAUUUGAAAAGUUAGGUAACCGUGUUCAAGGGUGGACACAGAAGGCGCUGGUGGGUACCUUUAUGGGAGGACUGAAAUCUGAAAUUUCGGAGGAGAUCCGAAUGUUCAGGCCUCGUACAUUGAAGGAAGCAAUAAGCCUAGCACGAAUGAAGGAUGAGCAGCUGUCUAGGCAAUGGAAAUUGUUCCAAUCACCAACCAGCAACCGUGCACAGCUGACCAUCACCCAAACGCCACCAGCAACACCCAUCAAACGACUUUCAUGGGAGGAGAUGCAACGACGCCGCGCACAAGGGCUAUGCUUCAACUGCAAUGAGAGAUUUACAGCCGGGCAUAAGUGUAGCAAAGCGCAGCUUUUGAUUUUUGACAGUGAAAGCAAGACGGAAGAAGCUACGUAUGAUGAAAGUUCAAUAGAGGAGCAGAGAACAGUUUCCUUCCUUGACCCUUGAGGACAAAGAUCCUUUUCGCGGUGGGGGUAUUGAUAAGAGAAGAUCCCUAAGGAAGCCAAAGCCUAAUGCCAAGUUCCAUGAUAACGAGUUUGUCUCCAUGCUGGUCAUGCAUGAUACAUGCAUGCUUCCAUGCACGUGCAAGAACUUGCCAGAGGUUGUUUAGUUUGAUUCAACUGCUAUUUCAUAUUGUAGCUUGUGAUAACUCUUUGCUGAGGUUGUUUAGUUUGAUUCAACUACUACUUCGUAUUGUAACUUGCUAUUAUAAAUAAGCCAGCAACUAAU
rnacentral:lncRNA from 1 species